AACGAACGCUGGCGGCAUGCCUAACACAUGCAAGUCGAACGAGACCUUCGGGUCUAGUGGCGCACGGGUGCGUAACGCGUGGGAACCUGCCCUUAGGUUCGGAAUAACUCCCCGAAAGGGGUGCUAAUACCGGAUAAUGUCUUCGGACCAAAGAUUUAUCGCCUUUGGAUGGGCCCGCGUUGGAUUAGCUAGUUGGUAGGGUAAAAGCCUACCAAGGCGACGAUCCAUAGCUGGUCUGAGAGGAUGAUCAGCCACACUGGGACUGAGACACGGCCCAGACUCCUACGGGAGGCAGCAGUGGGGAAUAUUGGACAAUGGGCGAAAGCCUGAUCCAGCAACGCCGCGUGAGUGAUGAAGGCCUUAGGGUUGUAAAGCUCUUUUACCCGGGAUGAUAAUGACAGUACCGGGAGAAUAAGCUCCGGCUAACUCCGU
rnacentral:rRNA from 1 species